CGGCGGACGGGUGAGUAACGCGUGGGUAACCUGCCUCACACUGGGGGACAACAGUUAGAAAUGACUGCUAAUACCGCAUAAGCGCACAGGACCGCAUGGUCCGGUGUGAAAAACUCCGGUGGUGUGAGAUGGACCCGCGUUUGAUUAGCUAGUUGGUGGGGUAACGGCCUACCAAGGCGACGAUCAAUAGCCGACCUGAGAGGGUGACCGGCCACAUUGGGACUGAGACACGGCCCAA
rnacentral:rRNA from 1 species